rnacentral:rRNA from 4 species
GGGAAUAUUGCACAAUGGGCGCAAGCCUGAUGCAGCCAUGCCGCGUGUAUGAAGAAGGCCUUCGGGUUGUAAAGUACUUUCAGCGGGGAGGAAGGUGUUGAGGUUAAUAACCUCAGCAAUUGACGUUACCCGCAGAAGAAGCACCGGCUAACUCCGUGCCAGCAGCCGCGGUAAUACGGAGGGUGCAAGCGUUAAUCGGAAUUACUGGGCGUA